UCAGCAGUUAUAGGAACAGGAGUGUGAAGGAUCCCUUGCAUUCUGAUGUAAUGUACAUCUGUUCAGGAAAAAUCAGACCAUUUAGAGCAGGCAAAAUAAACAUCCAGUACAUGAACAGGAGAAAGGAGUCCUCAGUCCUGACUUUCAGUCUGCACUUGCAAACAUAGACUUCGGCUGUCUCCAUCUGUGACAAUGAAUGUAAUAAUGUUUGUUUUCUUUAUAACCACUAUAAUCGGCAAACACAAUCCUCACAUACAGCCAUGUGUUCUGUGCAUGCCACGAUUGAAAUGUACAAACAGUGCAUGCGUGUCUGGCUUGCAUGCAGUACAUAAGCGUCCAUUAUGCCUACUGUACAGUACAUAACAAUCACAUUAUGCAUACUGUACAUACAUAACCAAUCACAUUAUGCAUACUGUACGUACAUAACCAAUCACAUUAUGGCCACUGUACAGUACAUAACCAAUCACAUUAUGCAUACUGUACAAUACAUAACCAAUCACAUUAUGCCUACUGUACAGUACAUAACCAAUCACAUUAUGCCUACUGUACAGCACAUGCAGCAGAAGGUACAUUACAGGUCUUAUGUACAGUGCCGUGUGUGUGGUAUCAUGAACGCCCAUCCAUCCAUCCAUCCAUCUCUCCAUGUCAGUGUGAAGGACAUUCCUGAGACAGGAUGGUGCCAGCCCAGCACCUCUCCCCUUUUCCCCAAUUCCCCUCUUCCUCUCCCGUCUUCUCCCCUUUUCCAUUCUUCGCCACUCUCAUUUGUGGCUUCUGAUUCCUCAUUUCAGAGCUGGAACAGAAAAACAAACUUCCUGCUUGGCUAGGUGUCACAUUUCUCAGAGGAACAAAGCCGUCUUUGUCCGUGUCCUAGCCGUCUACAGUACCUGAUUCUCCAGAACGUCUAGAUCAUUUCAGCCAGUUGUUUUGAAAGUGGUGCUCACAAGCUCAAACCGUCCCUGUUUCUUGUGUACUAUAUCAUCCUAUUGUGUACUAUGUCAUUCAAUUGUGUACUAUGUCAUCCAUUUCGUAUGAUAUUGCAUCCUGCAUUUAAAAAAAAUAUAUAUAUACAGUACCAGUCAAAAGUUUGGACACCUACUCAUUCAAGGGUUUUUCUUUAUUUUCACUAUUUUCUACAUUGUAGACUAAUAGUGAAGACCACCGAUGGAAUCAUGUAGUAAUCAAAAAAGUGUUAAACAAUUCAAAAUAUAUUUUAGAUUUUAGAUUCUUCAAAGUAGCCACCCUUUGCAUUGAUGACAGCUUUGCACACUCUUGGCGUUCUCUCAAGCAGCUUCACGAGGUCGUCACCUCAUGACGAUCCCUGACUGCAUCUGUCUGUGUAUCAUAUCCUGUCCUGUCCUACACUCUUACAAGUAAAGGUGCUAUCAAGAACCAAAAAGGGUUCUUUGGCUGUCCCCAUAGAAGAACCUCUUAAAGAACUAUUUUUCGUUCCAGGUAGAACCCUUUUGUGUUUUACACAGAAGGGUUCUACAUGCAACCCCAAAAAGUUCUACCUGGCACCAAAAAGGGUUAUCCUAUGGGGACAGCCGCAGAACCCUUUUGGAACCCUUUUUUCUAAGAGUGUACAUGGGUCUCUCCCCUCUGCUCUAUGCCCCCAGACUGCAUACUCACCGCACUUCACGCAAAGGCCCGGCUGGUAUAUAGACGUCCCCGUGGCAACAAUACGCUUGGAUGAGACGAGGACAACAAAGCAUCAUGGGAUGGCGUAGUGUCGAUGCAGUGUGUGGGUUCUUGUUGUGAACGAGAUGGCUUGUCAUGCCAGCUCUUGUUUCCACCAAUGUGGGUGUGUGAUGCUGUUUUGUACUAAAACGAUGUAUCUGUAUACAUAGCUAAUAUACAUUAUGCAUUAAAGUGGAGGCCUAUCUAGUCAGAUUAGAUAAGAGGACCUUGGAAAAUUCUAGAAUAGUAGGCUACCUCUGCCUAGUGUUCAUUAGCGUGGCGUGAUCUAUUAUGAUUCAUUGACUCCUUCUUUUCCAAUCACAGUCAUGGAACAACUCAAUGGUAUGUAGUGAUGACUAAAGCUGCUCCAUAAACUACAUAAAUCUGUCUUCGACUGCCUCCCAGCCAGACCUUAACCAACCAUGCACCAAGCUGCUGUGUCUGACCCUGAGUCUGAACACCAUGGAGAAAUUAACAGGAGAGAAUGAGAGUUCCAGUCCAGAUGAAAGAACAGCGACCGGUGAGAAAUGUCCUCCCCUGUUAAAAAGAGUGAGAUGGCGAUGAUUUUACUUCGGUGGAAAACUCCUUCUGUAAACGUUCAGGGUUUUUAAUAUGGGGCAAACACUUGUCUCCUGGUCAAGUGGCAGUGUGGUGGAAGGGCGAAGGGAUCGGUGACGAGUAAUUGGGGCCUUUCAGCAUGUGCUGCCUGGUUAGUGGUUAAUGAGCCUGGAGAUGGGCCAGGAGAGAUCGGGUUCCGCUUGGUGUGUUGGGGACUUGCCUGCUUUGCCUUGUUGGGCUGUUGUAGCUGUUGUGGCUGCGGACCAAACACCCCUGGUGGCAAUUAAUCACUGUGUGCCAUGGACAGAAUGUGCUCUUGGCUAGACCAACAUCACAGAACACUGCCAUGUCCACUUACUUCCUACUUCAUUCCGUUCCCAGUCGCUCCAGUCCCAACAUAACAGGUGGCGAUGUGUCCGCCAUUAUGGAUCGAUGAGGAGCCCCAACGAGCUCUCCGAUAAUGAGAUGUCCUGGCUUCAGUGAAGUGAGAGUGACUGAUGCACGUCUAAUGAUGCUGACGUUUGGAGCCAGGCAGCCAGCUAUCGACUGGCGCUUGUUGAUCAGCUGUUGUCAUUCAAUUAUGCACUAGAGGUUUCUUCCUUGUAUUGUAGUGGACGGUCCGCCACUGUUCGGCUGACACUCAUAUUUAACACGCCAAUAAAAACCCUCCAUCCCCAUUAGAGGGAGGGGUCUGCGGGGCCUCGCUUUCUCUUAAAAAAUUAAUGAGAUUUCAUAUUUCUUUACUGGCAAAUUUUCACUUGCAUCCGUUGGCAUUUCAACAUUUGAGUGUGUCUCUGUUCCAAAUUUUGGGGCAUUUUAUUGAUGUGUGUGACGCAAGCGUGUUCUGUUUUUAAAGGUGUGAAGUAUUGUUCCGUUUUUAAUACUGGGUCCUAAAAAGUAAGUAGUCUGCAUCAUUGUUGUAUGCUGGGCACGUUAUUGUAACACGCUAUUGUAAUGUGUUGUAAUGUAUUACAAUAUUGUAAUGUAUGUAAUGUGUGUAUACCAUAAAUGUGAACAUGUUGCGGGAGUGUAUUGCAGGACUGUAGGAUAGCGUGUCUACUUUGUGGCAGAGGAAAAGUACUCAUCUUUUCGAAUAGUGAAUGGUGGAAUCCUAGCCCACCACCGAAACAGUCCCUAUAGCAACCAUGGAAUGUUUUCAUUAAUGACGGGCAACUUGUCUCUACAAAGUAGGUCUAUGAACCACAAAAAAGCCAAACAAACACACAUACUCUCUCACACACACACACAUUUGUUUUACUAUCCUUGUGGGGACCCAAAAAUCUAUUUUCCCCACAGGACCUAACCCUAACCCUUAACCUAACCUUAACCUUAACCCUAAUCCCAAACUCCUAACACUAAAACUAAACCUAAUCCUAACUGCUAACUGCUAACCCUAAACCUAACCCCUGACCCUAUCCUUAAUUCUAACCCCUACCCUAAUUGUAACCCUAACCCUAAAAAAGCCUUUUUCCUUAUGGGGAUUGGCAAAAUGUCCCCACUUGUUCGAAUUUUCCUUGUUUUACUAUCCUUGUGAGGACUUCUGGUACACACAAGGAUAGUCAAACCAAACCACUCACACACACCUAAACUCAUCAUCAGAGGUUUUUGAGAAUGUGUGUGUUUAGUUACAGGUAUGUUGGGCGCCGUGCUGACCAAACUAACCACUUGAGGAAGUCAGCUGAAGUAUGUGCAAACUGGAGCCCGUGUUUGCAGAAGAGUCAAAACACUGUAUAACCAUCCUACUGUAUGUGAUGUUAUCACAGUGAAUCUGAUAGUCUGCCAUGUGCUGGGUGGAUAGGGAAUUUGGAUUAGUCUGAUUGAAGCCUGCUAACCAGCCUUAAAGGAGGCAAAUCCCACACAAGAAGAUGGGGGUUGGAGGAUUGGGACUGUCUGGUCUUCAGAGCUCACGCACGCAACGCACUGCACGCACACACACGCAGCACACACACACCA
rnacentral:lncRNA from 1 species